UACGUAGGGGGCAAGCGUUGUCCGGAAUCAUUGGGCGUAAAGCGCACGUAGGCGGCUUUGUAAGUUAGAGGCGAAAGCCCGGGGCUCAACUCCGGAAUUGCCUUUAAGACUGCAUCGCUUGAAUCCGGGAGAGGUGAGUGGAAUUCCGAGUGUAGAGGUGAAAUUCGUAGAUAUUCGGAAGAACACCAGUGGCGAAGGCGGCUCACUGGUCCGGUACUGACGCUGAGGUGCGAAAGCGUGGGGAGCAAACAGG
rnacentral:rRNA from 1 species